GAUGAAGAACGCAGCGAAAUGCGAUAAGUAAUGCGAAUUGCAGAAUUCCGUGAGUCAUCGAAUCUUUGAACGCACAUUGCGCCCUUUGGCAUUCCGAAGGGCAUGCCUGUUCGAGCGUCAUUUAUCAACCCUCAAGCCCGGCUUGCGGUUGGGUCCCGCCGUGGGCGACCACGGCGGACCCGAAAGGUAAUGGCGGUGCCCGUGGGGCCCUGGACGCAGCGAGCUUCUCGGCACGCGUCCCGGCGGUCCCCGGCGCCGUCUCCACCAAUCCACCACGCAGAUUGACCUCGGAUCAGGUAGGGAUACCCGCUGAACUUAAGCAUACAAUAAGCGGAGGA
rnacentral:misc_RNA from 1 species